UACGUAGGGACCGAGCGUUGUCCGGAUUCAUUGGGCGUAAAGAGCUCGUAGGCGGCUGUUCAAGUCGAACGUGAAAACUCGGAGCUCAACUCCGAGCCUGCGUUCGAUACUGGACGGCUAGAGUCUGGUAGGGGGAUCGUGGAAUUCCUGGUGUAGCGGUGAAAUGCGUAGAUAUCAGGAGGAACACCUGCGGUGUAGACGGCUUACUGGACCAUAACUGACGCUGAGGCACGAAAGCGUGGGUAGCAAACAGG
rnacentral:rRNA from 1 species